rnacentral:rRNA from 1 species
CUGUGAGCUCGAUGAGUAGGGCGGGACACGUGGUAUCCUGUCUGAAUAUGGGGGGACCAUCCUCCAAGGCUAAAUACUCCUGACUGACCGAUAGUGAACCAGUACCGUGAGGGAAAGGCGAAAAGAACCCCGGCGAGGGGAGUGAAAAAGAACCUGAAACCGUGUACGUACAAGCAGUGGGAGCACGCUUAGGCGUGUGACUGCGUACCUUUUGUAUAAUGGGUCAGCGACUUAUAUUCUGUAGCAAGGUUAACCGAAUAGGGGAGCCGAAGGGAAACCGAGUCUUAACUGGGCGUUAAGUUGCAGGGUAUAGACCCGAAACCCGGUGAUCUAGCCAUGGGCAGGUUGAAGGUUGGGUAACACUAACUGGAGGACCGAACCGACUAAUGUUGAAAAAUUAGCGGAUGACUUGUGGCUGGGGGUGAAAGGCCAAUCAAACCGGGAGAUAGCUGGUUCUCCCCGAAAGCUAUUUAGGUAGCGCCUCGUGAAUUCAUCUCCGGGGGUAGAGCACUGUUUCGGCAAGGGGGUCAUCCCGACUUACCAACCCGAUGCAAACUGCGAAUACCGGAGAAUGUUAUCACGGGAGACACACGGCGGGUGCUAACGUCCGUCGUGAAGAGGGAAACAACCCAGACCGCCAGCUAAGGUCCCAAAGUCAUGGUUAAGUGGGAAACGAUGUGGGAAGGCCCAGACAGCCAGGAUGUUGGCUUAGAAGCAGCCAUCAUUUAAAGAAAGCGUAAUAGCUCACUGGUCGAGUCGGCCUGCGCGGAAGAUGUAACGGGGCUAAACCAUGCACCGAAGCUGCGGCAGCGACGCUGAUGCGUUGUUGGGUAGGGGAGCGUUCUGUAAGCCUGUGAAGGUGUGCUGUGAGGCAUGCUGGAGGUAUCAGAAGUGCGAAUGCUGACAUAAGUAACGAUAAAGCGGGUGAAAAGCCCGCUCGCCGGAAGACCAAGGGUUCCUGUCCAACGUUAAUCGGGGCAGGGUGAGUCGACCCCUAAGGCGAGGCCGAAAGGCGUAGUCGAUGGGAAACAGGUUAAUAUUCCUGUACUUGGUGUUACUGCGAAGGGGGGACGGAGAAGGCUAUGUUGGCCGGGCGACGGUUGUCCCGGUUUAAGCGUGUAGGCUGGUUUUCCAGGCAAAUCCGGAAAAUCAAGGCUGAGGCGUGAUGACGAGGCACUACGGUGCUGAAGCAACAAAUGCCCUGCUUCCAGGAAAAGCCUCUAAGCAUCAGGUAACAUCAAAUCGUACCCCAAACCGACACAGGUGGUCAGGUAGAGAAUACCAAGGCGCUUGAGAGAACUCGGGUGAAGGAACUAGGCAAAAUGGUGCCGUAACUUCGGGAGAAGGCACGCUGAUAUGUAGGUGAAGUCCCUCGCGG